GACUUUUAUUUUGAAAAACCACCAUUUUCACAGCACGUCUUGCGCAAACAUCGAUGUUAUGAUCUUGACUUGUAGGAUCAAAAAUAAAAAGACAAAAUGACCAAUCCACUCAGGGGAGAGGUGUUCAGAUUGUACAAAAAUCUUCUCUACUUGGGACGGGACUAUCCAAAAGGCGCUCUGUACUUCAGGGAGCGUCUGAAAACAGCUUUCAUGAAGAACAAAGAUGUCACAGAUCCAGAGAAAAUCAAAAAGCUGAUUGACCGUGGCGAGUUUGUGAUUAAAGAACUUGAGGCACUUUAUUUCCUCAGGAAAUACAGAGCAAUAAAGAAACGCUACUAUGAACCAGAGCACUAAUCUCUGUUGCAGUGCAUGUGCCAAACUGUAUAUGUGCACAGAAUCAAAAGUUACAUUACUUUCAGUGGAUGCAUUAUGCUGGUCCAGAGGAACGUUCCUCCCACCGUGAUGGUCCAGAACGUGUGUCUCCUCAGAGGGUUGGAAUCAAAGCUGAGAGAGGUUGGGUGGAGUCACUGAUAAUAGUGGAGAUCCCACCCUGUAACAGCACUGAUUGGACGAUGACAGCCAAGAGCCUGUCCAACAUGAUGCCCACCUGGAACACAUCUGCCCAGACCACUGCUAUAAGACCACCCUGCCUGGGAAAAGGGAUAAAUAUCUUAUAAUGUCCAGUAUAUGGCCAGUAUACAUAAAUCAUUAUUGAUUUUAUACUGUAUGUUCAAUUAACAGUGAAGUGUCCAAAUACUUUUUGGGACAACUGUAUAUAAAUUUACAUAUGUCUAUUAUUUUGCAGUAUUGAUAAUGUUAAGGGACCUAACUGACCAUUGUUCCCACAAUUUGUUCCUUGUGUUUUAGUGUACUUACUAAUGUACAGUAGAGUGUGCAGACCACUCCGGUUGACAUGACAGCACCCCAGAGAUCUAUACCUGUGACUGAGAGGUGGACAAAUAGAAGAGUAUUCACCACAUAGUGGACUAUCAAGAACACUCAAUGCACCAUGCACUUAAAUAGAGAUGGAAUGCCAGACAAAUGCAGUUCAAUUUCAGGAAACAAAGCAAAGACUUCUGGCUCAAUAAUAAGGUUAAAUAAGGAUAAAGUUGGUUAUUGGAUACUUGCUUGUGUUUAUUACAGAACCUGUACAAAUUCCUACCUUGGUUUAAAGUCAAAGCUGGAGCAUAAAUGAUCAGACCUGUGAAAAGUACCUGAAAAAUGGGAAAAAUUCACUUCAUCCCUCUAUUAAUUCGCUGUGUGAUUUGAUGAGACGCAUUCAAACUACACGGAUACUUUUGCAAAAGAUGUGUACAGUACUCACUGUAUAAUAAACAGGACUGUUCCAAAUAGUCUAAUUACUUUUUUGUAGCAUAUUUCCCAAUACUGUAAGGAUAACCAGAAGAGAAAGUUUUCGAAAGAAGUUGCAGCUGCAUUUAAUAAUAAUGAAUGCAUUAUAGAAAUAAUAUAACACCUUGAAUUUAUAGUAUUCUACCUUUAGUUGCCCUCUCUGCUUGUCUAUAUUACACUUUAAAAAAAUGGUUUAUGUUAUAACUGCUAAAUGAAUUGUUUUUUUUUUUCAAAUAAAAGAAUAUAAUUUAACUGAAUCAACCUGAAUACAUUUUAAUUUUAGCCUAUUUUUAAGAUUUACGCAUUUCAAUUUCAUAACAAAAUUCCAUCACACUCAGUUGUGUCAUAUUAAA